CGGACAGACGGACAGACAGAGCCCGGCCAGUGGCCCUGCGCUGCGAACAAGGAAGAAGGGCGGGUCGGAAGGUGCGGGUUGUUCUCCUCUCCCUUCACAGGGAUGGACAGACUUGUGCACUGAAGUGAGACGCUCCCGUGGUGGUAGAGAAAUUCAGAUGGGGAAAAACAAAGCUCCGGGAUGUUUUUGCUGCAGUUUCCCUUUCCGCGCCGAUCACAGCGUCGUAAACCGGACAUCUCUUCUAGCAACUGUUUGCAUGUGCUCCUUCUCAAAGAAUUUCAGUCCCCACCUCUCGAGAGCAGGGCGGUGCAGAGGAAUUUGGAAACGCUCCCUUUGUCUUCUGCUGGCUUCCUCGCCCUGAGUGCAGCUGCAAAGUGACACAAUGUCAUAUCGUCAUUUUGGCACGGUACCUCGGGGGCAGAGGAGAGCUAAAGCAUGUUUUCUAGAAGGGAUGCAUGCUUCUCCUUUGCAGUGUUUCACAAGUCCCUGCUGUCUGUGGCUGAAAACGCUCCAGCGAGGAUUUAAAUGUGAGCAUCAUGAUACCCCAGCUCCCUGUCACUGAGAGUGGUUCUCCCAGUGCAGUUAACUGUUGCUGUCCUGCAUGCUGCAGGACUCCUGUGGAGUUUGCAGAUUGAAAUUGUGGUCCAAUUAUCUCCCAGAUUCAAUAUACAAUAGUCACUCUGUCCUUAGCCAAAAGAAUGAUAGGCUGAGUUGUUACGAUCUGGAGAUUGGGCAAGAGGACUAAUUAAUCUUCUGUUGUUGAAACACUGGAUUAGAUGGAUUAGAUGAAACCCCUCUGCUGUAAGCAACCACAAGAUGCUCCAACUGUAGAUAUAAGAAACUAAAAUCUUAAAUAAAUACGAAAAUGGAACUACCA